rnacentral:lncRNA from 1 species
UUUCAGUGGACUGAAACGAUUUCAGUUCUACUCUUAGGAUUCACUGAUCACCAAGUGAAUGCCUUCGAGUCUCACAAUCCACUAGUGACACCUAGCAGUAUGUGGUGGCAACCCAGCAGAAUGGAAUGUCUGAACCUCUAGGUGCAGUUAGCGUAUGAUACAGUCCCUCUAUCAUGGAUCCUGACGUGACGGAGGUUAUGGAUAUCUCGUCAAACCCCAUCGUCUGUCAUAUGUCAAAUUUAUACGACUUCCAGUUCGAGAUAUGGAAAACUCUUUUUCCAAAAUACCUGGC